rnacentral:rRNA from 1 species
GACGAACGCUGGCGGCACGCUUAACACAUGCAAGUCGAACGGAAAGGCCGGCUUUCCCUGCUGGCUUGCGGGUACUCGGGUGGCGAACGGCUGAGUAACACGUGAGUGAUCUGCCCCCAACUGCUGUAUAAGCCUAGGAUACUGGGUCUAAUUCCCUAUAGCACUUCAGGGUGGUGCCGGUGGUUGAAAACGAUGUUCUAGUAGAUGGGGAUGAGUGCGCGGCUUAUCAGCUUGUUGGUGGGGUAAUGGCGUACCAAGGCGGCGACGGGUAGCCAGCCUGAGAGUGUGGACGGCGACAUUGAGACUGAGCUACGACCCAGACUCUUACGGGCGGCAGAGGUGGGUACGAGAGGACGCAGUGGGGAAGACUGAUGCAGCGACGCAGCGCGGAGGAUGCAGGGCUUCGGGUUGUAAGCUGGUUUCGACGGCGAGGAACUCAUUUGGUUGGGAGGGUGGUGACGGUAGCGGUAGAAGAAGCACCGGCUAACUACGUG